rnacentral:rRNA from 1 species
GUGAAGCGGCAACAGCUCAAAUUUGAAAUCUGGCCUCACGGUCCGAGUUGUAAUUUGUAGAGGAUGCUUUUGGCAAGGUACUUUCCGAGUUCCCUGGAACGGGACGCCAUAGAGGGUGAGAGCCCCGUACGGUCAGACCACCGAGCCUCUGUAAAGCUCCUUCGACGAGUCGAGUAGUUUGGGAAUGCUGCUCUAAAUGGGAGGUGUACGUCUUCUAAAGCUAAAUACCGGCCAGAGACCGAUAGCGCACAAGUAGAGUGAUCGAAAGAUGAAAAGCACUUUGAAAAGAGGGUUAAAAAGUACGUGAAAUUGUUGAAAGGGAAGCAUUCAUGACCAGACUUGGGCUUGGUUGAACAUCCGGCGUUCUCGCCGGUGCACUCUGCCAGUCCAGGCCAGCAUCAGUUUGACCCGGGGGACAAAGGCGGCGGGAAUGUGGCUCCCCUCGGGGAGUGUUAUAGCCCGCCGUGUAAUGCCCUGGGUUGGACUGAGGAACGCGC